AGCUCAGAGGACAGAGCGGGAGCCUUCGAAGCUCCGAGCGGUGGUUCGAUUCCACCC
rnacentral:tRNA from 1 species